AAGUCGUAACAAGGUUUCCGUAGGUGAACCUGCGGAAGGAUCAUUACCGAGUGAGGGUCUCUCAGGCCCGACCUCCCACCCUGUGUUUUUGUGACCUUGUUGCUUUGGCGGGCCCGCCUCGAUGAGAGGCCGCCGGAAGCUCACGCUUUGGGCCCGUGCCCGCCAGUAGCCCCCUUAAAUUCUUAAUAAAUCUGUCGUCCGAGUCCAUGGAUAUAAUGAAAAAAACUUUCAACAACGGAUCUCUUGGUUCUG
rnacentral:misc_RNA from 1 species